AGAAAGCGGUGCGAUUGCUUCGGUACCUGCGGCGUCGGUGCCCUAAUCUAAGAGGGGAGAUGGGAAAAAAGAGCGAGGAUCCGGCAUUCUUCCUCAGCCAUCACCCGUCGCCGGACGCUGAAGGCCCCAACCACCGGCAGCGGUAAAGAAUCCGACGUUAUCGCCCGCCGCCGGCCACGCAGCGCCGGCUCAUUAAGCCAGUUUUUCUAAAUCAUGGAUUGUCCAAAUGGAGAUGAUCAUGAAGGAGUCAGUGUUGUCGGCUUUGAAGUUCCGAGAUCACCUGAUUCAAGCUACAAGCAACCCCAUACCAGGAAAUGAAGAUGAAGCUCGAGAACCUCCACUCGUCCCUCCUCAUCUGCACCAUACCUCGCUGAACUAUUCACACAGUCAAGACGAUCCAGGUAGUCUCAUAGCGCCUCAAAAUGUGAUUCUCAAUCA